UACGUAGGGGGCAAGCGUUGUCCGGAUUUAUUGGGCGUAAAGAGCGUGUAGGCGGUUAGGUAGGUCCGUUGUGAAAACUCGAGGCUCAACCUCGAGACGCCGAUGGAAACCAUCUGACUAGAGUCCGGAAGAGGAGAGUGGAAUUCCUGGUGUAGCGGUGAAAUGCGCAGAUAUCAGGAGGAACACCAGUGGCGAAGGCGGUGCUCUGGGCCGGAACUGACGCUGAGGAGCGAAAGCGUGGGGAGCAAACAGG
rnacentral:rRNA from 1 species